rnacentral:rRNA from 1 species
GAGACAAACAACUGCGAAAGCAUUUGCCUAAAAUACUUCCAUUAAUCAAGAACGAAAGUUAAGGGAGUGAAGACGAUCAGAUACCGUCGUAAUCUUAACCAUAAACUAUGCCGACUAGGCUUUGGAUGAAAGAUUUUAAAAUAAGAAUUUUCUCUUCGGAGUUUAUUCUUAGAUUGCUUCCUUCAGUGCCUUAUGAGAAAUCAAAGUCUUUGGGUUCUGGGGCGAGUAUUCGCGCAAGCGAGAAAGUUAAAAGAAUUGACGGAAGGGCACCACCAGGCGUGGAGCUUGCG